rnacentral:rRNA from 1 species
GUACACAAAAAUGCACAUAUUGUGAGCUCGAUGAGUAGGGCGGGACACGUGGUAUCCUGUCUGAAUAUGGGGGGACCAUCCUCCAAGGCUAAAUACUCCUGACUGACCGAUAGUGAACCAGUACCGUGAGGGAAAGGCGAAAAGAACCCCGGCGAGGGGAGUGAAAAAGAACCUGAAACCGUGUACGUACAAGCAGUGGGAGCCUCUUUAUGGGGUGACUGCGUACCUUUUGUAUAAUGGGUCAGCGACUUAUAUUCUGUAGCAAGGUUAACCGAAUAGGGGAGCCGAAGGGAAACCGAGUCUUAACUGGGCGUUAAGUUGCAGGGUAUAGACCCGAAACCCGGUGAUCUAGCCAUGGGCAGGUUGAAGGUUGGGUAACACUAACUGGAGGACCGAACCGACUAAUGUUGAAAAAUUAGCGGAUGACUUGUGGCUGGGGGUGAAAGGCCAAUCAAACCGGGAGAUAGCUGGUUCUCCCCGAAAGCUAUUUAGGUAGCGCCUCGUGAAUUCAUCUCCGGGGGUAGAGCACUGUUUCGGCAAGGGGGUCAUCCCGACUUACCAACCCGAUGCAAACUGCGAAUACCGGAGAAUGUUAUCACGGGAGACACACGGCGGGUGCUAACGUCCGUCGUGAAGAGGGAAACAACCCAGACCGCCAGCUAAGGUCCCAAAGUCAUGGUUAAGUGGGAAACGAUGUGGGAAGGCCCAGACAGCCAGGAUGUUGGCUUAGAAGCAGCCAUCAUUUAAAGAAAGCGUAAUAGCUCACUGGUCGAGUCGGCCUGCGCGGAAGAUGUAACGGGGCUAAACCAUGCACCGAAGCUGCGGCAGCGACACUAUGUGUUGUUGGGUAGGGGAGCGUUCUGUAAGCCUGUGAAGGUGGCCUGUGAGGGUUGCUGGAGGUAUCAGAAGUGCGAAUGCUGACAUAAGUAACGAUAAAGCGGGUGAAAAGCCCGCUCGCCGGAAGACCAAGGGUUCCUGUCCAACGUUAAUCGGGGCAGGGUGAGUCGACCCCUAAGGCGAGGCCGAAAGGCGUAGUCGAUGGGAAACAGGUUAAUAUUCCUGUACUUGGUGUUACUGCGAAGGGGGGACGGAGAAGGCUAUGUUGGCCGGGCGACGGUUGUCCCGGUUUAAG